CAGCCGCCGCGGUAAUACGAAGGGGGCUAGCGUUGUUCGGAAUUACUGGGCGUAAAGCGCGUGUAGGCGGGCUUUUAAGUCAGGGGUGAAAUGCCAAGGCUCAACCUUGGAACUGCCUUUGAUACUGGAAGCCUUGAAUCCGGGAGAGGUGAGUGGAACUGCGAGUGUAGAGGUGAAAUUCGUAGAUAUUCGCAAGAACACCAGUGGCGAAGGCGGCUCACUGGCCCGGAACUAACGCUGAGACGCGAAAGCGUGGGGAGCAAACAGGAUUAGAUACCCCCGUAGUCCCUGUCUCUUAUAC
rnacentral:rRNA from 1 species